ACGCUCGACACCUACGGGAGGCAGCAGUGGGGAAUAUUGCACAAUGGGGGAAACCCUGAUGCAGCGACGCCGCGUGGAGGAAGAAGGUCCUCGGAUUGUAAACUCCUGUUGUUGGGGAAAAAGAGGAUGGUACCCAACAAGGAAGUGACGGCUAACUACGUGCAAGCAGCCGCGGUAAUCUGAGCGGCUGGCAAGGC
rnacentral:rRNA from 1 species